rnacentral:rRNA from 1 species
UCCUACGGGGGGCAGCAGUGAGGAAUAUUGGUCAAUGGGCGGAAGCCUGAACCAGCCAAGUCGCGUGAGGGAUUAAGGCCCUGCGGGUCGUAAACCUCUUUUGCCGGGGAGCAGUGGUCCGGACGCGUCCGGACCGGGAGAGUACCCGGAGAAAAAGCAUCGGCUAACUCCGUGCCAGCAGCCGCGGUAAUACGGAGGAUGCGAGCGUUAUCCGGAUUUAUUGGGUUUAAAGGGUGCGCAGGCGGCGAGUUAAGUCAGCGGUAAAAUUUCGGGGCUCAACCCCGCCAAGC